CUUGGCCUUUUUCUUUCAACGUACCAGAUAAAUUUGUCUGCUCUUUGGGAGAGAAAUACUGGGUGAUUUUCAACUGUUUGGGCUUUUUUUCUACUGCUGAUAGUUCCAGAAUAUCAAGCCCCUGAGUCAGGCAUUAAGGCGGGAGUGGAGGUAGUGAAUGAUGCAACUUGGCAAGAUUCUAUUUGGGUCAUCAACUUUUAGAGCCAAAUCCAUUCCUGAAAUAAAUACAACAAAAUUGGUGAAAUUAGACAUGUAAUGCCUGUUUGCACAGUUUUCAAGUUAACUGCUGUGUCUUUUUAAGAGGAAAUCUAUUACUCAGACAUUUAUUUGUGCCUUAGGUCUUACUGAACUUAGAGAAAGCUGCUUUGUGUUAUUUUCUGGAUCACCUUUAGGUUUUAGACAGCCCUAACAAAAAAAAUAAAAAGUUGG